rnacentral:rRNA from 1 species
ACCAUAGCAAACUCCGAAUACCGAAGCGUGUGAGCACGGGAGACAGACAUUGGGUGCUAACGUCCGGUGUCAAGAGGGCAACAACCCAGACCGCCAGCUAAGGUCCCUAAAAUAAGCUCAGUGGGAAACGAAGUGGGAAGGCGAAGACAGUCAGGAGGUUGGCUUAGAAGCAGCCACCCUUUAAAGAAAGCGUAAUAGCUCACUGAUCGAGUCGUCCUGCGCGGAAGAUGUAACGGGGCUAAGCUUAUUACCGAAGCUGCGGAUGCGAGCGAAGCUCGCAUGGUAGGAGAGCGUUCCGUAAGCUGAUGAAGGCACAUUGUAAAGUGUGCUGGAGGUAUCGGAAGUGCGAAUGCUGACAUAAGUAGCGAUAAAGAGGGUGAAAAGCCCUCUCGCCGUAAGCCCAAGGUUUCCUACGCAACGUUCAUCGGCGUAGGGUGAGUCGGUUCCUAAGGCGAGGCAGAGAUGCGUAGCUGAUGGCAAGCAGGUUAAUAUUCCUGCACCAUUGUGAGAUGCGAUGGGGGGACGGAUCGCGGAAGGUUGUCC